AUUGAACGCUGGCGGCAGGCCUAACACAUGCAAGUCGAACGGUAACAGAAAGCAGCUUGCUGCUUUGCUGACGAGUGGCGGACGGGUGAGUAAUGUCUGGGAAACUGCCUGAUGGAGGGGGAUAACUACUGGAAACGGUAGCCAAUACCGCAUAACGUCGCAAGACCAAAGAGGGGGACCUUCGGGCCUCUUGCCAUCGGAUGUGCCCAGAUGGGAUUAGCUAGUAGGUGGGGUAAAGGCUCACCUAGGCGACGAUCCCUAGCUGGUCUGAGAGGAUGACCAGCCACACUGGAACUGAGACACGGUCCAGACUCCUACGGGAGGCAGCAGUGGGGAAUAUUGCACAAUGGGCGCAAGCCUGAUGCAGCCAUGCCGCGUGUAUGAAGAAGGCCUUCGGGUUGUAAAGUACUUUCAGCGGGGAGGAAGGGAGUAAAGUUAAUACCUUUGCUCAUUGACGUUACCCGCAGAAGAAGCACCGGCUAACUCCGUG
rnacentral:rRNA from 1 species